UUCCAUGCGAAUAGUAUGACAAACCAUCAUGCUUCUACCUGCAGGCCCAAAAUGAUGCGUCUAUGUGUCCCGAGUUGAGACAGGUUGCCAAUGGUUGUGCCUAUAGGGUCUUAUCAUACUCCGGAUAUGAUGUAAAUGGAUAUCGCUUUCACACAAAAAGCCACGAGCAGAGUCGGCCCAAUCGAAGAACAACAAAUUCUGGAGUUUGUACGACAGCCCUUGAUGGGGUCGAGUAUUAUGGCAUAAUUGAAGAAAUCUAUGAACUCACAUUUCAUGGUUGCAAACCUCUUAAGCCUGUCAUAUUUAAAUGCCAUUGGUUUGAUCCUAACGAAGUGCGACGGACCCCUCAUCUCGGCCUAGUCGAAAUUCGUCAGUCAUCAGUGUAUCCAGGAGACGAUGUCUAUAUUGUGGCUCAACAAGCCACGCAAGUUUAUUAUCUCUCAUAUCCGUGCAAAACCGACGAUCGUCUUAUGGGUUGGGACGUUGUGUACAAGGUAUCACCACACGGUAAAGUACCUAUUCCAAAUAAUGAGGAUUACAAUAUAGACCCAAACACAUAUGACGGGGAGUUCUUUCAAGAAGAUGGGCUUGAAGGGCAUUUUGAGAUAGACUUAACCGGAGUGAUCGAAAUGGAAGUACACGAUGAUGAAAUGGUUGAUAACGAGGACGCUGGUGAGGAGGUUCAUAAUGCGAAGGACCUAGAAUUACUUGAGCGAUUACAAUUAGGCGAUGAUAAUGAGGAUGAAAUUCCACCUUUAGAGCACGGGCUUGAACUUCUCGACUUGCGUGAUAGUGAUGAUGAGACAUAUGAUCCAGCUAAUCCCGAUGAAGAUGAUUAUUUCUAAUACAUGUGAUUGAAGAAAGAUGCCGGGCGGCGGACUUCAACGAUCGGUCGCCUCAAUGUACAGAAGAAUGAUGCCACACUCGGAUGCUGGUGAGGGCUCCAAUAGGGGUUCCGAGUUGGGGCGAGGCAAGGGUCGAGGGAAGGGUGGACCCAAGAGGGGGGAGGGAAGGGUGGAGGACUUGUGAGGGCUCCCAUAAACUUGUUUAUUUCAAUAUUUAUGGACUUGUGAACUUCUAGAUAUGUAUUUGUGAACUUUUGGACUUUGCAUUGGACUUCUGGAUGUGUUUGAAGUUAUUUCCGGCUAGUUGUGAUAUAUAUGUGAUAUGUAAUGCCUGUGAUAUAUAUGUUGUGA